rnacentral:rRNA from 1 species
UACGUAUGGUGCAAGCGUUAUCCGGAUUUACUGGGUGUAAAGGGAGCGUAGGCGGCGCGUUAAGUCUGAUGUGGAAACCCGAGGCUCAACCACGGGAGUGCAUUGGAAACUGGCGGGCUGGAGUGCCGGAGAGGUAAGCGGAAUUCCUAGUGUAGCGGUGAAAUGCGUAGAUAUUAGGAGGAACACCAGUGGCGAAGGCGGCUUACUGGACGGCAACUGACGCUGAGGCUCGAAAGCGUGGGGAGCAAACAGG